rnacentral:tRNA from 1 species
AAUUAAUGAACUUGUUAAAGUAUAUGUUUUGAAAGCAUAAAAAAGGAAAAGAAUCUCCUAUUAAUUU